rnacentral:rRNA from 1 species
UGUCGUCAGCUCGUGUUGUGAAAUGUUGGGUUAAGUCCCGCAACGAGCGCAACCCUUAUCCUUUGUUGCCAGCGGUCCGGCCGGGAACUCAAAGGAGACUGCCAGUGAUAAACUGGAGGAAGGUGGGGAUGACGUCAAGUCAUCAUGGCCCUUACGACCAGGGCUACACACGUGCUACAAUGGCGCAUACAAAGAGAAGCGACCUCGCGAGAGCAAGCGGACCUCAUAAAGUGCGUCGUAGUCCGGAUUGGAGUCUGCAACUCGACUCCAUGAAGUCGGAAUCGCUAGUAAUCGUGGAUCAGAAUGCCACGGUGAAUACGUUCCCGGGCCUUGUACACACCGCCCGUCACACCAUGGGAGUGGGUUGCAAAAGAAGUAGGUAGCUUAACCUUCGGGA